rnacentral:rRNA from 1 species
AAUGAACGCUGGCGGCAGGCCUAACACAUGCAAGUCGAACGGGAUCUUCGGAUCUAGUGGCGGACGGGUGAGUAACGCGUGGGAACAUACCCCUUUCUUCGGAAUAGCCUCGGGAAACUGGGAGUAAUACCGGAUACGCCCUUCGGGGGAAAGAUUUAUCGGUAAGGGAUUGGCCCGCGUUGGAUUAGGUAGUUGGUGGGGUAAUGGCCUACCAAGCCGACGAUCCAUAGCUGGUUUGAGAGGAUGAUCAGCCACACUGGGACUGAGACACGGCCCAGACUCCUACGGGAGGCAGCAGUGGGGAAUCUUAGACAAUGGGGGAAACCCUGAUCUAGCCAUGCCGCGUGAUCGAUGAAGGCCUUAGGGUUGUAAAGAUCUUUCAGAUGGGAAGAUAAUGACGGUACCAUCAGAAGAAGCCCCGGCUAACUCCGUGCCAGCAGCCGCCGUAA